rnacentral:rRNA from 1 species
GAUGAACGCUGGCGGCGUGCCUAAUACAUGCAAGUCGAGCGAACAGACGAGUAUCUUGCUCCUCAGACGUUAGCGGCGGACGGGUGAGUAACACGUGGAUAACCUACCUAUAAGACUGGGAUAACUUCUGGAAACCGGGCCUAAUACCGGAUAAUAUAUUGAACCGCAUGGGUCAAUAGUGAAAGACGGGUUUGCUGGCACUUUUAUAUGUUUCCGCGCCGCAUUAGCUAGUUGGUAAGGUAACGGCUUACCACGGCAACGGUGCAUAGCCGACCUGAGAGGGUGAUCGGCCACACUGGAACUGAGACACGGUCCAGACUCCUACGGGAGGCAGCAGUAGGGAAUCUUCCGAAAUGGGCGAAAGCUUGACGGAGCAACGCCGCGUGAGUGAUGAAGGUCUUCGGAUCGUAAAACUCUGUUAUUAGGGAAGAACAAAUGUGUAAGUAACUAUGCACGUCUUGACGGUACCUAAUCAGAAAGCCACGGCUAACUACGUG